GGGACACAAGCCUGGAGGCAACCUCUACCCUUCCUCCACCCGCUGUCCAGAUCGGCUGGAGCUCCCGAUGCCAGCCCUCAGCCCCUACCAUCGGUGGGGGAGCCACCGGGAGGGCUGUGAGGACAGCCUGCUGAGACCAGAGGCGGCCCAGAUGGGGCCUGAGCAGCAACAGGAGGCACAGGAAAAUGUCCUCAGACCUCCCCCCCAGCCAAUCCCGGGACUCACAGAGCACCUUCUUUUCCAAGCUGGGAUGUGCACAGCUG
rnacentral:lncRNA from 1 species